rnacentral:rRNA from 1 species
GUAGUUGACGUCCUGGCUCAGGACGACGCUGGCGGCGUGCUUAACACAUGCAAGUCGAACGCUGAAGCUCUGCCCGUUGUGGUGGGGUGGAGUGAGUGGCGAACGGGUGAGUAACACGUGGGUAAUCUGCCCCAUACUCUGGGAUAACCCCUGGAAACCGGGGGGCUAAUACCGGAUAGGACAGUUCUGCCGCAUGGUGGGGUGUGGAAAGUUCCGGCGGUAUGGGAUGGGCCCGCGGCCUAUCAGCUUGUUGGUCGGGGUAAUGGCCUACCAAGGCGACGACGGGUAGCCGGCCUGAGAGGGUGACCGGCCACACUGGGACUGAGACACGGCCCAGACUCCUACGGGAGGCAGCAGUGGGGAAUCUUGCGCAAUGGGCGAAAGCCUGACGCAGCAACGCCGCGUGGGGGAUGAAGGCCUUCGGGUUGUAAACCUCUUUUCACCAUCGACGAAGCCCUUUGGGGUGACGGUAGGUGGGGAAGAAGCACCGGCUAACUACGUG